rnacentral:rRNA from 1 species
AUCCUACGGGGCGCAGCAGUGGGGAAUAUUGCACAAUGGGCGAAAGCCUGAUGCAGCAACGCCGCGUGAGCGAUGAAGGCCUUCGGGUCGUAAAGCUCUGUCCUCAAGGAAGAUAAUGACGGUACUUGAGGAGGAAGCCCCGGCUAACUACGUGCCAGCAGCCGCGGUAAUACGUAGGUGGCGAGCGUUAUCCGGAAUGAUUGGGCGUAAAGGGUGCGUAGGCGGCCUGCUAAGUCUGGAGUGAAAGGUACCGGCUCAACCGGUACAGGCUCUGGAAACUGGCGGGCUAGAGAGCAGGAGAGGGG